rnacentral:lncRNA from 1 species
UUUAAUGAAGAUAUUGCCUCACAGUUUGAGAACAACCAAAGUGAGUUCCAAAUCUAGAAUAAGGAAGUCUUCCUCUAAAUGAUUAGGUAGAAAGGGAGAUGAUGCUCAGCUAUCAAUGAGUAGGAUGCAGACUCAGACCUAAAGCACAAGAGUAGAGAGGGAGGCCUGUGUCUUCCUUUCCUGAAACAGCUCAGGAUACACGAAUCCUGGUGCUUAGAAAUGGCAAAACUGGCCCCUCUGCAAAGAAGUAGCCCAGAGGUUGUGAAUGUCAUAGAUUAUUCUGUAUCCAUGUCCUAGGAAUUCUGAAGAAUGAUAAGCAUCUCUAUGUAAGACAGAAGCAGAAGAAACCAGUUGGCAAACAUUCUAACCUGGGCUAUUCUUUCAUUUGCAGGGUUUUUGCAGUGCCAGGUGUGGAUUGAGAUUCAGCCUUUGUAAGACUUACUCACUGAAAACAGGAAUUUGCUUGGUUCCAAGCGCUAAGCAGAAACCCUGCCUGGCCUGAGUUUCCUCAUCUCCCUCAUCAACAUGUGAAAAAGGGACCAGUGAAAUCAUGAGUGCAGGACAACUUCAGGAAGUGCAAAGCCCUUGGUGCAAGAACAAAGUGUGCUUUGUACACUUGCUGGUGCCAUUUGUGGCUGAGAAGAACUUUCUCGGAUUGCUUUGGAAUGAUGAAGAGUGUGUCUCUCAUCCAAGAACUGAAAUGAUACCUUCAGCCCAGUUGAUGACCAUGUACCCGUUAUAAGUUUCAUGAAGACAGGAGCAGGACCUGUUUUGUACACCGCUGGAUCCUUGCUGCCUAGCACAACACCUGGCAUGUGGUAGGUACCCAAGAAAUAUUCCUUGAGUUAAGUAAGCGAAUGGUCUGAUAGAAUAAGAAAAAUUGUGCAGCAAGUAAUUAAGAACAUCGUAGUACAGACUGCAUACGAGUUCUAAAUCAAAUUAAGGGAAAAGUAGUAUAAUGAGCAGGAGCAUUUGGAAGAGAAAUUGAAAGAAGAACUUACCAGUACCCUCGGUGCUGGCAAACAUUUGGCAGAUUUGUUUGUUUGUUUGUUUUGAGACAGAGUCUUGCUCUGUCAACCAGGCUGAAGUGCAGUGGCGCGAUCUUAGCUCACUGCAACUUCCACCUCCCGGAUUCAAGCAAUUCUCCCACCUCAGCCUCCCGAGUAGCUGGGAUUACAGACACACACCACCACGCUUGGCUAAUUUUUGCAUUUUUUUAGUAGAGGCAGGGUUUUACCAUGUUAGCCAGGCCGGUCUUGAACUCCUGACCUUGUGAUCUGCCCACCUCAGCCUCCCAAAGUACUGGAAUUACAGACGUGAGCCACCGUGCCCCGCCAAGUUUGUGUGUGUGUAUAUAUAUAUAUAUAUAUAUAUAUAUAUAUAUAUUUUUUUUUUUUUUUUUUUUAACAUACAUUUAGGAGUUAGGAGUUUGGUCUUUUAUUGGUUUUUUUUGUUUUUUUGGUUUUUUUUUUUUUUUUUUUGAGCUUUCUAAGUCUUAGCUGAUGGUUUCUAAAUUAGAAUGGGAUAAAAAAUGUAAACUGGAAUUGAUUUAAUUAAUCUGUCAAACAAAUACAGACAGGAAAAACCUGUUAUGUGGACCCGUGUUAAAUGACACACAUGAAAAAUUUUAGUCCCGUGAGCUAUUGGUUACUUCCUCUAGUCCAGAUGAUUGUUUUUCCCUUGAAUUAAACACAUCUAAAUGUGUGUAAAAUUCUCUAGCAAAUAUGGUGACCACAUG